rnacentral:rRNA from 1 species
UGCAGCCGAGCGGUAUAGUUUCUUCGGAAACUAGAGAGCGGCGUACGGGUGCGUAACACGUGUGCAACCUACCUUUAUCAGGGGAAUAGCCUUUCGAAAGGAAGAUUAAUACUCCAUAAUAUAUUGAAUGGCAUCAUUUAAUAUUGAAAACUCCGGUGGAUAGAGAUGGGCACGCGCAAGAUUAGAUAGUUGGUGAGGUAACGGCUCACCAAGUCAAUGAUCUUUAGGGGUCCUGAGAGGGAGAUCCCCCACACUGGUACUGAGACACGGACCAGACUCCUACGGGAGGCAGCAGUGAGGAAUAUUGGACAAUGGGUGAGAGCCUGAUCCAGCCAUCCCGCGUGAAGGAUUAAGGUCCUAUGGAUUGUAAACUUCUUUUGUACAGGGAUAAACCUAGAUACGUGUAUCUAGCUGAAGGUACUGUACGAAUAAGCACCGGCUAACUCCGUGCCAGCAGCCGCGGUAAUACGGAGGGUGCAAGCGUUAUCCGGAUUUAUUGGGUUUAAAGGGUCCGCAGGCGGACCGAUAAGUCAGUGGUGAAAUCUCAUAGCUUAACUAUGAAACUGCCAUUGAUACUGUCGGUCUUGAGUAAAUUAGAGGUAGCUGGAAUAAGUAGUGUAGCGGUGAAAUGCAUAGAUAUUACUUAGAACACCAAUUGCGAAGGCAGGUUACCAUGAUUUAACUGACGCUGAGGGACGAAAGCGUGGGUAGCGAACAGGAUUAGAUACCCUGGUAGUCCACGCCGUAAACGAUGCUAACUCGUUUUUGGGGCGCAAGCCUCAGAGACCAAGCGAAAGUGAUAAGUUAGCCACCUGGGGAGUACGUUCGCAAGAAUGAAACUCAAAGGAAUUGACGGGGG